UGGGGAAUAUUGGACAAUGGGCGAAAGCCUGAUCCAGCCAUGCCGCGUGUGUGAAGAAGGUCUUCGGAUUGUAAAGCACUUUAAGUUGGGAGGAAGGGCAGUAAGCGAAUACCUUGCUGUUUUGACGUUACCGACAGAAUAAGCACCGGCUAACUCUGUGCCAGCAGCCGCGGUAAUACAGAGGGUGCAAGCGUUAAUCGGAAUUACUGGGCGUAAAGCGCGCGUAGGUGGUUCGUUAAGUUGAAUGUGAAAGCCCCGGGCUCAACCUGGGAACUGCAUCCAAAACUGCGGGCUAGAGUAGGGCAGAGGGUGGUGGAAUUUCCUGUGUAGCGGUGAAAUGCGUAGAUAUAGGAAGGAACACCAGUGGCGAAGGCGACCACCUGGGCUCAUACUGACACUGAGGUGCGAAAGCGUGGGGAGCAAACAGG
rnacentral:rRNA from 1 species